rnacentral:tRNA from 1 species
GCCCGCCUAGCUCAAUCGGAUAGAGCGUCAGACUCUUACGAGUUGCGGGUGCAUAGUCACAUUAGUGAUCUGAAGGCUGCGAGUUCGACCCUCGCGGUGGGCU